UACGGAGAGGGCUAGCGUUGUUCGGAAUUACUGGGCGUAAAGGGUACGUAGGCGGUUUAGUAAGUUAGGAGUGAAAGCCUGAGGCUUAACCUCAGAAUUGCACCUAAAACUACAUGGCUAGAGCAUUGGAGAGGGUAGCGGAAUUCACGGUGUAGCAGUGAAAUGCGUAGAUAUCGUGAGGAACACCAGAGGCGAAGGCGGCUACCUGGACAAUUGCUGACGCUCAGGCACGAAAGCGUGGGGAGCAAAAGGG
rnacentral:rRNA from 1 species